rnacentral:rRNA from 1 species
AACGAACGCUGGCGGCGUGCUUAACACAUGCAAGUCGAACGCGAAAGUUUUCUUCGGAAAGCGAGUAGAGUGGCGCACGGGUGAGUAACGCGUAAGUAAUCUACCCUGGUAUCUGGGAUAACUCACCGAAAGGUGUGCUAAUACCGGAUACGCUGAUUUAUCAGGAAAGGUGGCCUCUUCAUGAAAGCUACUGUACCAGGAGGAGCUUGCGUACCAUUAGCUAGUUGGUAGGGUAAAGGCCUACCAAGGCGACGAUGGUUAGCGGGUCUGAGAGGAUGAUCCGCCACACUGGAACUGGAACACGGACCAGACUCCUACGGGAGGCAGCAGUGAGGAAUAUUGCGCAAUGGGGGAAACCCUGACGCAGCGACGCCGCGUGGAUGAUGAAGGCCUUCGGGUCGUAAAAUCCUGUCAGAUGGAAAGAAGUG